CCUACGGGCGGCAGCAGUGAGGAAUAUUGGUCAAUGGACGAGAGUCUGAACCAGCCAAGUAGCGUGAAGGAUGACUGCCCUAUGGGUUGUAAACUUCUUUUAUAUGGGAAUAAAAUGUUCCACGUGUGGGAUUUUGUAUGUACCAUAUGAAUAAGGAUCGGCUAACUCCGUGCCAGCAGCCGCGGUAAUACGGAGGAUCCGAGCGUUAUCCGGAUUUAUUGGGUUUAAAGGGAGCGUAGGUGGAUUGUUAAGUCAGUUGUGAAAGUUUGCGGCUCAACCGUAAAAUUGCAGUUGAAACUGGCAGUCUUGAGUACAGUAGAGGUGGGCGGAAUUCGUGGUGUAGCGGUGAAAUGCUUAGAUAUCACGAAGAAAUCCGAUUGCGAAGGCAGUUCACUGGACUGCAACUGACACUGAGGCUCGAAAGUGUGGGUAUCAAACAGGAUUAGAUACCCCUGUAGUC
rnacentral:rRNA from 1 species